UGCAGUCGAGCGGAACGAUCCUAGCUUGCUAGGAGGCGUCGAGCGGCGGACGGGUGAGUAAUGCAUAGGAAUCUGCCCGGUAGUGGGGGAUAACUUGAGGAAACUCAAGCUAAUACCGCAUACGCCCUACGGGGGAAAGCAGGGGCUCUUCGGACCUUGCGCUAUCGGAUGAGCUUAUGUCGGAUUAGCUGGUUGGUGAGGUAACGGCUCACCAAGGCGACGAUCCGUAGCUGGUCUGAGAGGAUGAUCAGCCACAUCGGGACUGAGACACGGCCCGAACUCCUACGGGAGGCAGCAGUGGGGAAUAUUGGACAAUGGGGGCAACCCUGAUCCAGCCAUGCCGCGUGUGUGAAGAAGGCCCUCGGGUUGUAAAGCACUUUCAGCGAGGAAGAAUGCUUGUCGGUUAAUACCCGGCAAGGGAGACAUCACUCGCAGAAGAAGCACCGGCUAACUCCGUGCCAGCAGCCGCGGUAAUACGGAGGGUGCGAGCGUUAAUCGGAAUUACUGGGCGUAAAGCGUGCGUAGGCGGCUUGAUAAGCCGGUUGUGAAAGCCCCGGGCUCAACCUGGGAACGGCAUCCGGAACUGUUAGGCUAGAGUGCAGGAGAGGAAGGUAGAAUUCCCGGUGUAGCGGUGAAAUGCGUAGAGAUCGGGAGGAAUACCAGUGGCGAAGGCGGCCUUCUGGACUGACACUGACGCUGAGGUACGAAAGCGUGGGUAGCAAACAGGAUUAGAUACCCUGGUAGUCCACGCCGUAAACGAUGUCGACUAGCCGUUGGGGUCCUCGAGACCUUUGUGGCGCAGUUAACGCACUAAGUCGACCGCCUGGGGAGUACGGCCGCAAGGUUAAAACUCAAAUGAAUUGACGGGGGCCCGCACAAGCGGUGGAGCAUGUGGUUUAAUUCGAUGCAACGCGAAGAACCUUACCUACCCUUG
rnacentral:rRNA from 1 species